UACGAAGGGUGCUAGCGUUGUUCGGAAUCACUGGGCGUAAAGGGUGCGUAGGCGGCUUUGCAAGCCAGAGGUGAAAGCCUGGAGCUCAACUCCAGAACUGCCUUUGGAACUGCAUGGCUAGAGUGUCGGAGGGGAUAGCGGAAUUUCUAAUGUAGCGGUGAAAUGCGUAGAUAUUAGAAGGAACACCGGUGGCGAAGGCGGCUAUCUGGACGACAACUGACGCUGAGGCACGAAAGCGUGGGGAUCAAACAGG
rnacentral:rRNA from 1 species